rnacentral:rRNA from 1 species
UGCCAGACUCCUACGGGAGGCAGCAGUGGGGAAUAUUGGGCAAUGGGCGCAAGCCUGACCCAGCAACGCCGCGUGAAGGAAGAAGGCUUUCGGGUUGUAAACUUCUUUUGACAGGGAAGAGCAGAAGACGGUACCUGUCGAAUAAGCCACGGCUAACUACGUGCCAGCAGCCGCGGUAAUACGUAGGUGGCAAGCGUUAUCCGGAUUUACUGGGUGUAAAGGGCGUGUAGGCGGGGACGCAAGUCAGAUGUGAAAACCACGGGCUCAACCUGUGGCCUGCAUUUGAAACUGUGUUUCUUGAGUACUGGAGAGGCAGACGGAAUUCCUAGUGUAGCGGUGAAAUGCGUAGAUAUUAGGAGGAACACCAGUGGCGAAGGCGGCCUGCUGGACGACAACUGACGGUGAGGCGCGAAAGCGUGGGGAGCAAACAGGAUUAGAUACCCCAGUA